AGAGUUUGAUCCUGGCUCAGCCUGAACGCUGGCGGCGUGGCUAAGACAUGCAAGUCGUACGGGUGUAGCAAUACACCAGUGGCGAACGGGUGAGUAAUGAAUCGCUAACGUGCCCCGGACUCUGGGAUAGCUGCCCGAAAGGGCAGGUAAUACCAGGUAAUAUGGCCUUGUCGCAUGACAGGGCUCUCAAAGGUCCGCCGGUCUGGGAGCGGGCGAUUUCGUAUCAGCUAGUUGGUAGGGUAACGGCCUACCAAGGCGACGACGCGUAGCCGGACUGAGAGGUUGGCCGGCCACAUUGGGACUGAGACACUGCCCAGACUCCUACGGGGGGCUGCAGUAACGAAUCUUCCGCGAUGCACGAAAGUGUGACGGAGCGACGCCGCGUGUGGGACGAAGCCCUUCGGGGUGUAAACCACUGUCAGGGGAAAGAAAGUUCUGAUCUACCCCAGAGGAAGAGGCGGCUAACUCUGUGCCAGCAGCCGCGGUAAUACAGAGGCCUCGAGCGUUAGGCGGAAUCACUGGGCUUAAAGCGUGUGUAGGCGGACUUCUAAGUACCUUGUGAAAUCCCACGGCUCACCCGUGGAACUGCUU
rnacentral:rRNA from 1 species